rfam:Picea glauca, whole genome shotgun sequence.
ACAAUGGUGUUUUUCAACACCACCCCAAUGAUUUUUGGAAAGAUGG